rnacentral:rRNA from 1 species
AGAUAAAAAACCAAUGCCCUUCGGGGCUCCUUGGUGAUUCAUAAUAACUUCUCAGAUCGCAUGGCCUUGCGCCGGCGACGGUUCAUUCAAAUUUCUGCCCUAUCAACUUUCGAUGGUAAGGUAUUGGCUUACCAUGGUUUCUACGGGUAACGGGGAAUUAGGGUUCGAUUCCGGAGAGUUAGCCUGAGAAACGGCUAACACAUCCAAGGAAGGCAGCAGGCGCGCAAAUUACCCAAUCCUGAUACAGGGAGGUAGUGACAAUAAAUACUGAUACAGGGCUCUUUUGGGUCUUGUAAUCGGAAUGAGUACAAUUUAAACCUCUUAACGAGGAACAAUUGGAGGGCAAGUCUGGUGCCAGCAGCCGCGGUAAUUCCAGCUCCAAUAGCGUAUAUUAAAGUUGUUGCAGUUAAAAAGCUCGUAGUUGAACCUUUGGCCUGGCUGGCAGGUCCGCCUCACCGCGUGCACUUGUCCGGCCGGGCCUUUUCUUCUGGAGAACCGCAUGCCCUUCACUGGGUGUGUUGGGGACCAGGACUUUUACUUUGAAAAAAUUAGAGUGUUCAAAGCAGGCCUUUGCUCGAAUAUUACAGCAUGGAAUAAUAAAAUAGGACGUGCGGUUCUAUUUUGUUGGUUUCUAGGACCGCCGUAAUGAUUAAUAGGGACAGUCGGGGGCAUCAGUAUUCAAUUGUCAGAGGUGAAAUUCUUGGAUUUAUUGAAGACUAACUACUGCGAAAGCAUUUGCCAAGGAUGUUUUCAUUAAUCAGUGAACGAAAGUUAGGGGAUCGAAGACGAUCAGAUACCGUCGUAGUCUUAACCAUAAACUAUGCCGACUAGGGAUCGGGCGGUGUUAUUAUUUUGACUCGCUCGGCACCUUACGAGAAAUCAAAGUGUUUGGGUUCUGGGGGGAGUAUGGUCGCAAGGCUGAAAC